UAUCCUGGCCUUCUGAUGCAC
rnacentral:misc_RNA from 1 species